ACUCCUACGGGAGGCAGCAGUCGAGGAUCAUUCGCAAUGCGCGAAAGCGUGACGAUGCGACGCUGCGUGGGGGAUGAAGGCCUUCGGGUCGUAAACUCCUGUCAUGAGGGAAAAGUAUCCCUGCGAUGAAUAAUCGCGGGGCUCGAUGGUACCUCAAGAGGAAGCCACGGCUAACUCUGUGCCAGCAGCCGCGGUAAUGCAGAGGUGGCGAGCGUUGUUCGGAUUUACUGGGCGUAAAGGGUGCGUAGGUGGUUUUGUGUGUCGGAUGUGAAAGCCCAUGGCUCAACCGUGGAAUUGCAUUCGAAACUGCAGAACUAGAGUGCAGGAUGGGAGAGCGGAAUUCUUGGUGUAGCGGUGAAAUGCGUUGAUAUCAAGAAGAACACCGGUGGCGAAGGCGGCUCUCUGGAAUGCUACUGACACUGAGGCACGAAAGCUGGGGGAGCAAACAGGAUUAGAUACCCUGGUAGUCCCAGCCGUAAACGGUGCACACUUGGUGUGGGGAGAUUUAACCCUCUCCGUGCCGGAGCUAACGCGUUAAGUGUGCCGCCUGGGGAGUACGGCCGCAAGGCUAAAACUCAAAGAAAUUGACGGGGGCCCGCACAAGCGGAGGAGCAUGUGGCUUAAUUCGAUGCAACGCGAAGAACCUUACCAGGGCUUGACAUAUACCUGCAAACCCCCUGAAAGGGGGGAAUCCUUCGAGGGUGGUAUACAGGUGCUGCAUGGCUGUCGUCAGUUCGUGCCGUGAGGUGUUGGGUUAAGUCCCGUAACGAACGCAACCCUUGUGACUAGUUGCCACCGGCGGUGAUGAGCCGCCGAGCACUCUAGUCANACUGCCCGUACAAGCGGGAGANNGNNNGGGGNNNGANNUCAAG
rnacentral:rRNA from 1 species